rnacentral:lncRNA from 1 species
CCAGGGGUUGGGGUUUUCCUCUCCUUGCUGCUAUAAAAUACCUUCACAUAUUGUACACAUUCAUUCUUUCUUGUCUUCUUGGUAGAACGCUAAGCUACAGUGACCAGUAGUCUUCCAGACCUCAGGAUUCUAUUCUUCAGCUUUUUAGAAUGAGAUGCGUUUUUGUUCCAAACUGAUGAUUUCAACUGAUGCUCUCCUGAUGCAUGGCAGACGGCGGUGCCUGUGUCUCUGAGAACACCAUGUGAAUCCCCGUGCCUGAGAACACCAUGUGAAUCUCUGUGCCUGAGAACGCAUGUGAAUCCCAGGAACAUCCUCCAACACACCAUUCAUCAGAGAAGCCCUAUCUGUGACAACAUGUUUGUGCUAAACAAGAGCAAGGGUACCACACUCAGAUACACAUAACAGCAGCGCCAUCUAUUGGCUUGACGACAUCUCAGUGGUGAGUUUAAGGAAGACCAAUACCACCAAGAACACUCUGCCUGAAUCUAGACUCUGAAAUGGGCAAGAAGAUACAGACUGAGUGGGUCCAGAAGAACUGACCCAAACAUGAUAUGUAAACCAUGUUUUAUAGUUCCUCUUCUUCUUCUUCUUCUGAGAAACUGUGUGACCUAUCUGGCCUGGGGCAAGUUAAGGUGCUCUAUGGGCUCUAAAUUAAAAUGUUUCAUUGGUAGGACUGGUGCUUCCAACUUAAAAAAGUGAGGAGGACAAAAUAAAAUCUAGGAGAACGAGAAAAUAUUAUUUUUCUUUCAAUUCGAUUGAGAUACAGCCUAUAAUGGGGCUAUGGGAUGGGGCUAUAGGAUGGGGCUAUAGGAUGGGGCUAUAGGAUGGGGCUGUAGGAUGGGGCUAUGGGAUGGGGCUAUAUGUUGUGCCCUAGGGACUAAUAGGUACCCAUGUACAUACAUUCGUUUUUUUUAAAUAAAAAGCUAAAAUGUUGAUACAAAUACAUGUCAUUGACAUUUCAAAGUCAUUUGUGGAAUGUUAGAUUUCUACAUAGUUAGGGCUCUAAAAAAUCUGUUUCCUUUUUUGCCUAAUUCAGUUUUUUUUGUUUUUUUGUUGCCAAAUUCUGUUUUCUCAGUUUUGUUUUUACAGGUUUCUCAUUAUUCUCAUUUUUUGGGGGGGGGGGUCUAAGUUCACAACAAUAAUUAAACCACAUCAAGAGACAACUUUUGAGGUCUGGGGAAAAUCUAAAGAUAAAAAAUGUUUUUGUGUAGUUUCAUUCAAGUGUGCACCAUGGACAUAUAGCAAUAGAAUGUUUGGUUACCUGUGUUUCUGGAGCCCACGUGUGUAGAUAUUGCUAAACAUAUGCCCAAUGGAUUGAUGCAAAUAAUCAUGAUAUAUGUCUUCCAGGUAGGCAUAGGCGACAUUGUAGUUAACAUUUAAUUGAGAAGGUUUUUGGAAAAGUCUUUCCAUCUACCAAAAGGCAGUUGUCAUUAGUAUCGUCGCUCACAUCUACGCAAAGUAGACCUGCACAGCACACACACAAAGACAGGAGCAUUUCUACGUCCUGUGCAUUCAUCUUCAGAAAGUUACUUUGUAGUUAACGUUCUUGUUCACUUGUGACUUAAUGAAGCUGAGGGGGACAUGCCAGCUAAGCAGGCAGGUCAACAAUGCCAUAUGGGGGUCAGCUGACAGCCGGACAGAUUGGUCCACUCAAAAGGAUGAGCUGUGGGGCUGAGGUGACAGUGACGGGAAUCUGUGUGACAUAAUAACUGAACUGGCUGUGUUAAUUUGCCCUGUGGAUGAAGGCUAACCAGCUCUACGGACAUGGUUGGAGGAGUGUGACCUGGUGAAGACGAGGGGGACACGCCAACUAAGAAAACAGGUCAACACUGCCUUGGGGCCAGUGGACAGCUUGACAGAUUGGUCCACUCAAAGUGUGUGAGCGACGGGUCUGAGAUGACUGAAAUGAGCAUAGUGCUGGAUGUCACACUCAUUGUUACCUGGCAGUCAGGAUGCCGGCCCAGUGGAGGAAUGGGGCCACUUCUUCUUCUUCUUCUUCUUCUUCUUCUUCUAAGAGACUGUGUGACAUAAUAACUGGCUUGGGGCAUCUUAAGGUGCCCUCUGGGUGAAAGCUGAACAGCUCUAUGGACAUGUUUGGAGGUAUAGGGCCAGGUGAAGCUACGGGGGACAUACCAACUAAGAAUACAAGUCAACACAGCUAUGCGGGCCAGUGCACAGCCAUUGGAUAGGCUGGGGUAACUGCUGAGCAGGUCGCUUUGGUAGACCUUUUGUACACCGUUUGUUAGGCUGUUUGGUAGACAGAUUGAUAGGCUUUUGGUAGACAGUUUGGUAGGCCUUUGGUAGGCCGUUUGGUUGAGGAGGAUUGAUGCCACCACUUCUUUUUCAUCUUCGUAUGUUUCUUCUUCAUUUAUUAUUUUUCUUCUGAGAGACUGUGAUAUUAUAACUGGCUUGGGGCGUGUUAAGGUGCCCUCUGGGUGAAGGCUGAACAGCUCUAUGGAUAUGUUUGGAGGUGUACGGCCUGGUAAAACUAAGCGGGACAUGCCAGCUAAGAAUACAGGUCAACACAGCUAUGCGGGCCUGUGCACAGCAAUUGGAUAGGCCGGGGUAACUGCUGAGUAGGUCGCUUUGGUAGGGCGUUUGGUAAGCCCUUUGGUAGGCCGUUUGGUAGACCUUUUGAUAGGCCGUUUCAUAGAAUGCUUGGUAGUAUGUUUGCUAGGCCUUUGGUAGGCUGAUUGGUAGACUUUUGGUAGGCAGUUGGUUGGCCUUUGGUAGGCCAUUUAGUAGAGGGGGAAUGAUGCCUCCCCUUCUUCUUCUUCUUCUUCUUGCCAGUAAAGUGGAGGAGUGGGGCCACUGCUCCUUCUUCUUCUUCUUCUUCUGUUUCUUCUACUUUUAUAAUUUUUCAUCUUCUCCUUCUACAAAAUGGAAGGCCGUUUGGUAGGCCUUUUGGUAGGCUUUUGGUAGGCCGUUUGGAAGGCUGAUUGGUAGGAUUUUGGUAGACAGUUUGGUAGGCCUUUGGUAGACCGUUUAGUAGAGGGGGAAUGAUUCCACCCCUUCUGCUUCUUGUUCUUCUGUUUCUUCUGAGAGACUGUGACAUAAUAACUGGCUUGGGGCAUCUUAAGGUGCCCUCUGGGUGAAGGCUGAACAGCUCUAUGGACAUGUUUGGAGGUGUACGGCCUGGUGAAGCUAAGGGCGACAUGCCAGCUAAGAAUACAGGUCAACAUAGCUACGCGGGCCAUUUGGUAGACCUAUUGGUAAGCCGCUUGGUAGUCCAUUUGGUAGGCCGCUUGGUAUGUCGUUUGGAAAGCUGUUUGGUCGGCCUUUGGUAGACUGUUUGGUAAACUGCUUGGUAGCCCACUUAGUAGGCCCUUUGGUAAGCCGUUUGGUAGGUCUUUGGUAGUUUGUUUGAUAGGUCGUUUGGUAGUCUGUUUGGUAGGCCUUUGGUAGACUUUUUGGUAGACAUUUGGUAGGCUGUUUGGGAGGCCGUUUCAAAGCCCGCUUGGUAGUGCGUUUGGUAGGCUUUGGGUAGGCUGAUUGGUAGGCUUUUGGUAGACAGUUUAGUAGGCCUUUGUUAGGCCGUUUGGUAGAGGAGGAAUGAUGCCACCUCUUCUUCUUCUUGUUCUUCUUCUGUUUCUUCUUCUUUUAUAUUUCAGUGGAGGAAUGGGGCCACAUCUUCUGAACAGCUCUAUGGAAAUGUUUGGAGGUGUGUGGCAUGGUAAAACUAAGGAGGACAUGCCAGCUAAGAAUACAGGUCAACACAGCUAUGCGGGCCAGUGCACAGCCAUCGGAUAGGCCGGCGUAACUGCUGAAUAGAUCGCUUUGGUAGGCCUUUUAUAGACCGUUUGGUAGGGCGUUUGGUAAGCUCUUUGGUAAGCCCUUUGGUAAGGCGAUUGGUAGACCAUUUGGUUGGUCUUUUGGUAGGCCUUUUGGUAGGAUGUUGGGUGGGUCGUUUGGAAGGCUGUUUGGUAGGCCAUAUCAUAGGCCGCUUGGCAGUAAGUUUGGUAGGCCAUUUGGAAGACUCUUUGGUAAGCCAUUUAAUAGGCCGCUUGGUAGUAUGUUUGGUAGGCCUUUGGUAGACUGUUUGGUAAGCCUUUGGUAGACUGUUUGGUAGGCUUUGGUAGACAGUUUGGUUGGCCUUUGGUAGGCCGAUUAGUAGAGGGGGAAUGAUGCCACAACCUUCUUCAUCUUCUUAUGUUUCUUCUUCUUCACCUUCUUUUUCUUCUUCUUUGUCUUCUUCUGUUUAUUCUUCUUUUAUUAUUUUUCUUCUUCUUCUUCUUCUUGCCAGCCAAGUGGAGAAUUGGGGCCACUGCUCCUUCUUCGUCUUCUUCUUCUUCUGUUUCUUCUUCUUAAAUAAUUUUUCGUCUUCUUAAUCUUCUUUUUCUACCAAACGGAAGACCAUUUGAUAGGCCUUUUGGUAGGCCUUUGGUAGGACGUUUGGAAUGCUGAUUGGUAGUAUUUGAUAGACAUUUUGGAAGGCCUUUGGUAGUCCGUUUAGUAGAGGGGGAAUGAUACCACCCCUUCUUCUUCUUCUUAUGUUUCUUCUUCUUUUCUUCUUCGUCUUCUUCUGUUUAUUUUUCUUCUUCUUCUUCCUCUUCUUCUUCUUCUUGCCAGCCAAGUAUAAUUGUUCUUAUUAUUCUUCUUAUUUUUCUUAUUAUUAUUAUUUUUCUUCAACCAAAUGGAAGGCCAUAUUCUUGUUCUUCGUUUUCUUCUUGUUCUUCUUGUUCUUCUUCUUCUGUUCCUUCUUCUUUUAUAAUUUUCUUCUUCUCCUUCUACCAAACGUAAUGCCAUUUUGUAGGUUGUUCAUAGGCCUCUUGGUAGUACGUUUGGUAGACAUUUGGUUGGCUGAUUGGUAGGGUUUUGGUAGACAGUUUGGUAGGCCGAUAAGUAGAGGGGGAAUGAUGCCACGCCUUCAUCUUCUUCUGUUUCUUCUUCUUCUUCGUCUUCUGUUUAUUCUUCUUCUUCUAUCAUUUUUUCUUAUUUUUCUUCUUAUUCUUAUUCUUCUUCCUCUUCUUCUUGCCAGCCAAGUAUAGUAGUGAAGCCACAGUUCCUUCUUCUUCUUCUUCUUCUUUGUCUUCUUUGUCUUCUUCUGUUUAUUCUUCUUUUAUAAUUGUUGUUAUUAUUCUUCUUCUUAUUAUUAUUAUUUCUCUUCAACCAAAUGGAAGGCCGUGUUCUUCUUCUUUUUAUUCUUCUUCUUCUUAUUAUUCUUGUUCCUCUUCUUCUGUUCCUUCUUCUUUUAUAAUUUUCUUGUUCUCCUUCUUCUUCUACCAAACGUAAGGCCGUUUCAUAGGCCUGUUGGUAGUACGUUUGGUAGACAUUUGGUAGGCUGAUUGGUAGGCUUUUGUUAGACAGUUUGGUAGGCGGUUUAGUAGAGGGGGAAUGAUGCCACCUCUUCUUCUUCUUCAUCUUCCUAUGUUUCUUCUUCAUUUAUUAUGUUUCUUCUUCUUCUUGCCAGCCAAGUAUAGGAGUGAAGCCACUGUUGCUUCUUCUUUUUCUUCUUCUUCUUUUUCUUCUACCAAAUGGAAGGCCGUAUUCUUCUUCUUCUUCUUCUUCUGGCCAGCCAAAUAUACUAGCGGGGCCACUGUUGCUUCUUCUUCUUCUUCUUCUUCUUUUUCUUCUACCAAAUGGAAGGCCGUAUUGGGGGCCACUGCUUCCUCUUCUUAAUUUUCUUCUUUUGCCAAACGGAAGUGUCACGUCCUGGCCAGUAUAAGGUUAAUUGGUAUUGUAGUUUGGUCAGGACGUGGCAGAGGGUAUUCGUUUUAUGUGGUUCGGAGUGGUGUGUUUUGUUGAAGGGGCAUUUGGUUUAAGUUUUCCGGGGUUUUUGGGCACUGUUUGGUUUUCAGGUAUUCUAUGUUUAGUCUAGUAUGUCUGGUUCUAUGUUUGGUUAAUUGGUAUUGUAGUUUGGUCAGGACGUGGCAGAGGGUAUUCGUUUUAUGUGGUUCGGAGUGGUGUGUUUUGUUGAAGGGGCAUUUGGUUUAAGUUUUCCGGGGUUUUUGGGCACUGUUUGGUUUUCAGGUAUUCUAUGUUUAGUCUAGUAUGUCUGGUUCUAUGUUUGGUUAAUUGGGGUUGGGACUCUCAGUUGAAGGCAGGUGUUGUCUAUCUGCCUUUGAUUGAGAGUCCCAUAUAUGAGGGUGUGUUUGUGUUUGUUAUUUGUGGGUGAUUAUUCUGUGUUUAGCCUUGUGCCUUACCAGACUGUUUUUGUUGAUCAUUCGUUCUUUGUUAUUUUGGUGUUCAUUUUGUAUUUAUUAAAAAGCAAGAUGAGCAUACACAUACCUGCUGCGUUUUGGUCCUCCAUUUCCAACGACAAACGUGACAGGAAGACCAUUUUGGAAGGCCUUUGGUAGUCCGUUUAGUAGAGGUGGGAUGUUGCCUCCUUCUUGUUCUUCUUCUUGCCAGCCAAAUAUACUAGCGGGGGCCACUGUUGCUUCUUCUUCUUCUUCUUCUUCGUUCUUCUUUUUGCCAGCCAAAUAUACUAGCGGGGGCCACUGUUGCUUCUUCUUCUUCUUCUUCUUGCCAGCCAAAUAUACUACUGUGGCCACUGUUGCUGCUUCUUCUUCUUCUUCUUCUUCUUCUUCUUCUUCUUCUUCUUCUUCUUCUUCUUCUUCUUCUUCUUCUUCUUUUUUUUUUUCUUUUCUUCUUUUCUCUUCUUCUUCUUCUUCUUCUUCUUCUUCUUCUUCUUCUUCUUCUUGCCAGCCAAAUAUACUAGUGGGGGCCACUGUUGCUUCUUCUUCUUGCCAGCCAAAUAUACUACUGUGGCCACUGUUGCUUCUUCUUCUUCUUCUUCUUCUUGCCAGCCAAAUAUACUACCGUGGCCACUGUUGCUUCUUCUUCUUCUUCUUCUUCUUCUGCCAGCCAAAUAUACUAGCGGGGCCACUGCUGCUUUUGUUAGACAGUUUGGUAGGUGGUUUAGUAGAGGGUGAAUGAUGCCACUUCUUCUUCUUCAUCUUACUAUGUUUCUUCUUCAUUGAUUAUGUUUCUUCUUCUUCUUCUUGCCAGCCAAGUGGAGGAGUGGGGACACUGAUCCUUCUUCUUUUUCUUCUUCUUCUUGCCAGUCAAGUAGAGGAGUGGGGCCACUGCUCCUUCUUCAUCUUCUUCUUCUUCUGUUUCUUCUUUUAUCAUUUUUAAUCUUAUAACAAACGGAAGGAUGUUUGGUAGGCCUUUUGGUAGACAGUUUGGUAGGCCUUUGGUAUACUGUUUAGUAGAGGUGGGAUGUUGCCACCCCUUCUUCUUCUUCUUCUUCCUCUUCUUCUUCUUCUUCUUCUUCUUCUUCUUCUUCUUGCCAACCAAAUAUACUAGUGGGGCCACUGUUGCUUCUUCUUUUUAAAUAAUUUUUCUUCUUCUUCUUCUUCUUUGUCUUCUGCUAUUUAUUCUUCUUUUAUAAUUGCUCUUAUUAUUCUUAUUAUUUUUCUUCUUCUUCUACCAAAUGGAAGGCCGUAUUCUUCUUCUUCUUCUGUUCUUUCAUCUUUUAUAAUCUUCUCCUUCUUCUUCUACCAAACGUAAUGCCGUUUGGUAGGCCGUUUCAUAGACCUCUUCGUAGUGCGUUUGGUAGACAUUUGGUAGGCUGUUUGGUAGGCUUUUGGUCGACAGUUUGGUUGGCCUUUGGUAGGCUGAUUAGUAGAGGUGGAAUGAUGCCACCCCUUCUUUGUCUUCUUCUUCAUCUUCUUCUGUUUCUUCUUUUAUAAUUCAGUGGUGAAAUGGGGCCACGUCUUCUGAACAGCUCUAUUGACAUGUCUGGAGGUGUGUGGCCUGGUAAUACUAAGUGGGACAUGCCAGCUAAGAAUACAGGUCAAAACAGCUAUGCGGGCCAGUGCACAGCCAUUGGAUUGCCCGGGGUAACAGCUGAGUAGAUCGCUUUGCUAGGCCUUUUGUACACCGUUUGGUAAGACCUUUGGUAGACCAUUUGGUGGGUCGUUUGGUAGGCUUUUGGUAGACAGUUUAGUAGGCCUUUGAUAGGCCAAUUAGUAGACGGGGAAUAAAGUCACCCCUUCAUUUUCUUAUGUUUCUAGUUCUUCUCCUUUUUCUUCUUCAUUGUCUUCUGUUUCUUCUUCUUCUUCUUGCCAGCCAAGUGGAGAAUUGGGGCCACUGCUCCUUCUUCGUCUUCUUCUUCUUUUGUUUCUUCUUCUUUCAUAAUUUUUCUGAACGGGUAGGUCACUUGCGAUACCUCUCCAACUCGUUUUAGUGGAGGUCUGCUUGGGUGAGUGUAUAGGUUUUGAUAAUACUUUGACCCAGGGUGGCAACGUCUUAUUAAAGAGUAAAAUCCUAUAGGUACCGCUCCGACUUGAUUUAGCGGAGGUCUGAACGGGUAGGUCACUUGUGAAACAACUCCAACUUGUUUUGGUGGAGGUCGGCAUGGGUUAGUAUACAGCUUUUGAUAAUACAUUGACCCAGGGUGGCAACGUCUUUUCAAAAUAGUAAAAUCCUAUGGGUACCGCUCCGACUUGAUGUAGCGGAGAUCUGUAAGGGUAGGACACUUGUGAAACAACUCCAACUUCUUUUGGUGGAGGUCGGCAUGGGUUAGUAUACAGCUUUUGAUAAUACGUUGACCCAGAGUGGCUACGUCUUUUCAAAAUAGUAAAAUCCUAUGGGUACUGCUCCGACUUGAUUUAGCGGAGGUCUGAACGGUGAGGUUUUUGUGAAACCACUCCAACUGGUUUAGUGGAGGUCUGCUUGGGUGAGUGUAUAGCUUUUGAUAAUACUUUGACCCAGGGUUGCAACAUAUUAUCAAAAUAGUAAAAUCCUUUGGGUACCGCUCCGACUUGAUUUAGCGGAGGUCUGAACGGGUAGGUCACUUGCGAUUCCUCUCCAACUCGUUUUGGUGGAGGUCUGCUUGGGUGAGUGUAUAGCUUUUGAUAAUACUUUGACCCAGGGUGGCAACAUAUUUUCAAAAUAGUAAAAUUCUAUGGGUACCGCUCCAAUUUGAUUUAGCGGAGAUUUGAACGGGUAGGUCACUUGUGAAACAACUCCAACUUGUUUUGGUGGAGGUCGUUAUGGGUUAGUAUUCAGCUUUUGAUAAUACUUUGACCCAGGGUGGCAACGUCUUUUCAAAAUAGUAAAAUCCUAUGGGUACCGCUCCGACUUGAUUUAGCGGAGGUCUGAACCGGUAGGUCACUUGCAAUUCCUCUCCAACUCGUUUUGGUGGAGGUCUGCUUGCGUGAGUGUAUAGCUUUUGAUAAUACUUUGACCCAGGGUGGCAACAUAUUAUCAAAAUAGUAAAAUCCUAUGGGUACCGAUCCGAUUUGAUUUAGGGGAGGUCUGAACUGGUAUGUCACUUGUGAAACAACUCCAACUUGUUUUGGUGGAGGUCGGCAUGGGUUAGUGUAUAGCUUUUGAUAAUACGUUGACCCAGGGUGGCAACAUAUUAUCAAAAUAGUAAAAUCCUAUGGGUUCCGCUCCGACUUGUUUUAGUUGAGGUCUGCCUGUGUGAGUGUGUAGCCUAACGCUUUGACCCGAUUAAGCAAUGGACAGACAGCAGUGACCCCUUAUGUUUCUUCUUCUUCUUCUCCCUUUUCUGUUUAUUCUUCUUUUAUAAUUUUUCUUAUUUUUCUUCUUAUUCUUCUUCUUCCUCUUUUUCUUCUUCUUGCCAGCCAAGUAUAGGAGUUGCUACACGGUUCCCUCUUAUUCUUCUUCUUCUUCUUCUUUUUCUUCUACCAAAUGGAAGGCAGAAUAAUUCUUCUUCUUUUUUCUUGUUCUUCUUCUUCUUAUUCGUCUUCUUUUUAAAAUAAUUUUCUUCUCCUCCUUCUUCUUCUACCAAACGUAAGGCCAUUUGGUAAGAUGUUUCUUAGGGCUCUUGGAAUGAUGCCACCCCUUCUUUUUCUUCUUUUUCUUCUUCUUAAACGUAUUUGUCUAAGAGAGUCCAAUUUCUAAGAGAGUCCAAUGCUCGCUGCAUCCAGAAAAGGUCUCCUUGGGCAUGUCACUAUUGAAUAAGCCCUGGAUGAAUACUACAAGAGGUGAUUUUUCUACAACAAUUUUGGUGCCGUGACCCGGAUGGAAGGGAGACUGGCCGUCCUGGCCGGAACCUAGACAUCUCUUCAGUAUACCACAAAUAGUGGUAAAGGGACCUUUUAAAAGAUACUGUUGUUCGGUCAGGUGGGGUGGCUUAGGCUCUUCUCCUCUCCAUCCAUCUAUUGGAGUAAAAUUCUCGAGACUGUUAAAUGCAUUCUUAGAUAUAUAUAUAUAUAUAUAUAUAUGAACUGGUUCAUCAGGUAAGCUAAGGUUAAUUGGCUUCUGAAUUUGAAUCUAAGGAAAUUGAUUCUGGAGUAUUGGAACAAAAGGACAUUUGUUCCAGGGUUAGGAAGCCUAAGGUUUACUAACGUAUGUUUGAUAAUAAUAUAGACCUGAUCAUUUGUUGAAGAAAUUGACCAAUACUUUGGCGAGCUUGCCAGGAGCAUGUGACCACUUCGCUGGACUGACCAUCGAUCCACGUGCAAGCGCUACAAAAUUAUAACGUAAGCAGACACCUGUUAUAUCUAAUGUCUGUAAUUUGCUAUAGCACAUUGUGGUUAACGAGUAAUUUUGGCAAGUAAGUGGCGCCUCGCUGUUAAAUUUAUACAAACCUACAUUUCUCUGUAAUAGCGGAAUCAUUUAAAUUAUUGUUACACAACCCGCGGGAGGAAGCACAGACCACCUAGGUGGAAAUAGGUUAUACAUUCCUGGGUUAAAUGGUUAUGAUUAUGUGACUUGGUGAUAGGAUUUAGGGUGAAAUUCCAAGUAUAAAAACGCCGAAUGUUGAGAUUAUUGUGAUGAGACUUGGUGAAAGGAUUUAGGGUGAAAUUCCAAGUAUAAAAACACCGAUUGUUGAGAUUAUUGUGAUGAGACUUGGUGAUAGGAUUUAGGGUGAAAUUCCAAGUAUAAACGUCAAUUGUUGAGAUUAUUGUUUUGAGACUUGGUGAUAGGAUUUAGGGCGAAAUUCCAAGUGUAAUCGCCGACUGUUGAGAUUAUUGUGAUGAGAUUUGGUGACAGGAUUUAGGGCGAAAUUCCAAGUAUAAACGCUGAUUAUUGAAAUUAUUGUGAUGAGACUUGGUGAUAGGAUUUAGGGCGAAAUUCCAAGUAUAAACGCCGAUUGUUGAGAUUAUUGUGAUGAGACUUGGUGAUAGGAUAUAAGGCAAAAAUUCCAAGUAUAAACGCAGAUUGUUGAGAUUAUUGUGAUGAGACUUAGUAUUAGGAUUUAGGGCGAAAUUCCAAGUAUAAACACAGAUUUUUUAGAUUAUUGUGAAGAGACAUAGUGGUAGGAUUUAUGGCUAAAUUCCAAGAAUCUACGCUGAUUGUUGAGAUUAUUGUGAUGAGACUUGGUGAUAU